GAUGAAGAACGUAGCGAAAUGCGAUAAGUAAUGUGAAUUGCAGAAUUCAGUGAAUCAUCGAAUCUUUGAACGCACAUUGCGCCCUCUGGUAUUCCGGGGGGCAUGCCUGUUCGAGCGUCAUUACAACCACUCAAGCUCUCGCUUGGUAUUGGGGCUCGCGGUUCCGCGGCCCCUAAAAUCAGUGGCGGUGCCUGUCGGCUCUACGCGUAGUAAUACUCCUCGCGAUUGAGUCCGGUAGGUCUACUUGCCAACAACCCCCAAUUUUUACAGGUUGACCUCGGAUCAGGUAGGGAUACCCGCUGAACUUAAGCAUAUCAAUAAGCGGAGGA
rnacentral:misc_RNA from 1 species